rnacentral:rRNA from 1 species
AGAUUGAACGCUGGCGGCAUGCCUUACACAUGCAAGUCGAACGGCAGCACGGGGGCAACCCUGGUGGCGAGUGGCGAACGGGUGAGUAAUGCAUCGGAACGUGCCCAGUAGUGGGGGAUAACUAGUCGAAAGAUUAGCUAAUACCGCAUACGACCUAAGGGUGAAAGCGGGGAUUCGCAAGAACCUCGCGCUAUCGGAGCGGCCGAUGUCUGAUUAGCUAGUUGGACGGGUAAAAGCCCACCGAAGGUCUUCGAUCAGUAGCUGGUCUGAGGAGGACGACCAGCCCACACUGGGACUGACGACGACCGGCCCAGACCGUACCCGACGGGA